rnacentral:misc_RNA from 1 species
AACAAGGCGUACCUGCGGACCUGCGGAGGGAUCAUUACUGAGUUAGGGUCUUUUUUGGCCCGACCUCCAACCCUUUGUUUAUUAAACCAUGUUGCUUUGGCGGGCCUGCCUUUCGGGGCUGCCGGGGGCAUCACUGCCCCUGACUCGUGCCUGCCAGGAGCCUUCUUAAAUUCAGUGUUCAAUGGUGCUGUCUGAGUCCCGGUAUCAAUACCAUAAAACUUUCAACAAUGGAUCUCAGAU